ensembl:lncRNA
CUGAGGCGUCAGGCUUUCUCAGGAGGAAUUCUCGUCUGAAGUACCCCGCUCUGGACAAGUGGAAUUAGACUGAACACAAAGGAAAAGAAAAAGGUUGGAGCCUUCAAGUUCAGGUCAGCAGAAGCUUGUGAGUUACAGUGAGAAAUUUCAAAUCUGACACUUGCCAGUUCCCAUUGAGCUCCGGGUGAGAAAUGUCCCUGGCCUCGUCCAUUUUUAAUGUCACAGUCAUCUUAGUGGAAGAGAUCACCUCCAGGUAAAGUUAUUCAAAACAAGGGUUUAUCAUUUUAGCGCCAUUCAACCGUGGCGCAUCACAGGGCCACUCUGGCUCACCUCACAGGUUUUAGGUUUCCCAGGCAGUGGGGCUUGAGACAAAGGCCAGUUUUCCUUGCAUGUCUUCCCUUCCCACCCAAAGUGGUCAGAAA